rnacentral:rRNA from 1 species
GACGAACGCUGGCGGCGCGCCUAACACAUGCAAGUCGAACGAGAGAUGAGGAGCUUGCUCUUCAAAUCGAGUGGCGAACGGGUGAGUAACGCGUGAGGAACCUGCCUCAAAGGGGGGGACAACAGUUGGAAACGACUGCUAAUACCGCAUAAGCCCACGGCUCGGCAUCGAGCAGAGGGAAAAGGAGCAAUCCGCUUUGAGAUGGCCUCGCGUCCGAUUAGCUAGUUGGUGAGGUAACGGCCCACCAAGGCGACGAUCGGUAGCCGGACUGAGAGGUUGAACGGCCACAUUGGGACUGAGACACGGCCCAGACUCCUACGGGAGGCAGCAGUGGGGAAUAUUGCACAAUGGGGGAAACCCUGAUGCAGCGACGCCGCGUGGAGGAAGAAGGUCUUCGGAUUGUAAACUCCUGUUGUUGAGGAAGAUAAUGACGGUACUCAACAAGGAAGUGACGGCUAACUACGUGCCAGCAGCCGCGGUAAAACGUAGGUCACAAGCGUUGUCCGGAAUUACUGGGUGUAAAGGGAGCGCAGGCGGGAGAACAAGUUGGAAGUGAAAUCCAUGGGCUCAACCCAUGAACUGCUUUCAAAACUGUUUUUCUUGAGUAGUGCAGAGGUAGGCGGAAUUCCCGGUGUAGCGGUGGAAUGCGUAGAUAUCGGGAGGAACACCAGUGGCGAAGGCGGCCUACUGGGCACCAACUGACGCUGAGGCUCGAAAGUGUGGGUAGCAAACAGGAUUAGAUACCCUGGUAGUCCACACCGUAAACGAUGAUUACUAGGUGUUGGAGGAUUGACCCCUUCAGUGCCGCAGUUAACACAAUAAGUAAUCCACCUGGGGAGUACGACCGCAAGGUUGAAACUCAAAGGAAUUGACGGGGGCCCGCACAAGCAGUGGAGUAUGUGGUUUAAUUCGACGCAACGCGAAGAACCUUACCAAGUCUUGACAUCCCUUGACGAUGCUGGAAACAGUAUUUCUCUUCGGAGCAAGGAGACAGGUGGUGCAUGGUUGUCGUCAGCUCGUGUCGUGAGAUGUUGGGUUAAGUCCCGCAACGAGCGCAACCCUUAUGGUCAGUUACUACGCAAGAGGACUCUGGCCAGACUGCCGUUGACAAAACGGAGGAAGGUGGGGAUGACGUCAAAUCAUCAUGCCCUUUAUGACUUGGGCUACACACGUACUACAAUGGCGUUAAACAAAGAGAAGCAAGACCGCGAGGUGGAGCAAAACUCAGAAACAACGUCCCAGUUCGGACUGCAGGCUGCAACUCGCCUGCACGAAGUCGGAAUUGCUAGUAAUCGUGGAUCAGCAUGCCACGGUGAAUACGUUCCCGGGCCUU